GAUGAAGAACGUAGCGAAAUGCGAUAAGUAAUGUGAAUUGCAGAAUUCAGUGAAUCAUCGAAUCUUUGAACGCACAUUGCGCCCGCCAGUAUUCUGGCGGGCAUGCCUGUCCGAGCGUCAUUUCAACCAUCAAGCCCCCGGGCUUGUGUUGGGGACCUGCGGCUGCCCGCAGGCCCUGAAAACCAGUGGCGGGCUCGCUGUCACACCGAGCGUAGUAGCAAUCACCUCGCUCAGGGCGUGCUGCGGGUUCCGGCCGUUAAACAGCCUUACAAAACCCAAGGUUGACCUCGGAUCAGGUAGGAAGACCCGCUGAACUUAAGCAUAUCAAUAAGCGGAGG
rnacentral:misc_RNA from 1 species